rnacentral:lncRNA from 1 species
CCGCCCAAACAGGGAUCGGUAGCGGCUAGUAGACCGGCGCCGAGCGCCGCCCAAACAGGGAUCGGUAGCGGCUAGUAGACCGGCGACGCCGAGCGCCGCCCAAACAGGGAUCGGUAGCGGCUAGUAGACCGGCGACGCCGAGCGCCGCCCAAACAGGGAUCGGUAGCGGCUAGUAGACCGGCGACGCCGAGCACCGCCCAAACAGGGAUCGGUAGCGGCUAGUAGACCGGCGCCGAGCACCGCCCAAACAGGGAUCGGUAGCGGCUAGUAGACCGGCGCCGAGCACCGCCCAAACAGGGAUCGGUAGCGGCUAGUAGACCGGCGACGCCGAGCGCCGCCCAAACAGGGAUCGGUAGCGGCUAGUAGACCGGCGAUGCCGAGCGCCGAGCGCCGCCCGAACAGGGAUCGGUAGCGGCUAGUAGACCGGCGACGCCGAGCGCCGCCCGGACAGGGAGAGGAGUUACCUUCGGUAGAAGUCGUGACACUACGGCUGUAUAUAAUUCACUAUACUACGACUGUAUAUAAUUCACUAUACUAUGACUGUAUAAUUCACUAUACUAUGACUGUAUAUAAUUCACUAUACGAUGGCUGUAUAUAAUUCACUAUACUACGGCUGUAUAUAAUUCACUAUACGAUGGCUGUAUAUAAUUCACUAUACUACGGCUGUAUAUAAUUCACUAUACUACGACUGUAUAUAAUUCACUAUACGAUGGCUGUAUAUAAUUCACUAUACUACGACUGUAUAUAAUUCACUAUACGAUGGCUGUAUAUAAUUCACUACACUACGGCUGUAUAUAAUUCACUAUACGAUGGCUGUAUAUAAUUCACUACACUACGGCUGUAUAUAAUUCACUAUACGAUGGCUGUAUAUAAUUCACUAUACGAAGGCUGUAUAUAAUUCACUAUACUACGACUGUAUAUAAUUCACUAUACUACGGCUGUAUAUAAUUCACUACACUACAGCUGUAUAUAAUUCACUAUACGAUGGCUGUAUAUAAUUCACUACACUACGGCUGUAUAUAAUUCACUAUACGAUGGCUGUAUAUAAUUCACUACACUACGGCUGUAUAUAAUUCACUACACUACGGCUGUAUAUAAUUCACUAUACGAUGGCUGUAUAUAAUUCACUAUACUACGACUGUAUAUAAUUCACUACACUACGGCUGUAUAUAAUUCACUACACUACGGCUGUAUAUAAUUCACUAUACUAUGGCUGUAUAUAAUUCACUACACUACAGCUGUAUAUAAUUCACUAUACGAUGGCUGUAUAUAAUUCACUAUACUACGGCUGUAUAUAAUUCACUACACUACGACUGUAUAUAAUUCACUACACUACGGCUGUAUAUAAUUCACUACACUACGGCUGUAUAUAAUUCACUAUACUACGACUGUAUAUAAUUCACUAUACUACGACUGUAUAUAAUUCACUAUACUACGACUGUAUAUAAUUCACUACACUACGGCUGUAUAUAAUUCACUAUACGACGGCUGUAUAUAAUUCACUAUACGAUGGCUGUAUAUAAUUCACUAUACGAUGGCUGUAUAUAAUUCACUAUACUACGACUGUAUAUAAUUCACUACACUACGGCUGUAUAUAAUUCACUACGACUAUAUAAUUCACUACACUACGGCUGUAUAUAAUUCACUAUACUACGACUGUAUAUAAUUCACUACACUACGGCUGUAUAUAAUUCACUAUACUACGACUGUAUAUAAUUCACUAUACGAUGGCUGUAUAUAAUUCACUAUACGAUGGCUGUAUAUAAUUCACUACACUACGGCUGUAUAUAAUUCACUACACUACGGCUGUAUAUAAUUCACUAUACUACGACUGUAUAUAAUUCACUAUACUACGACUGUAUAUAAUUCACUAUACUACGACUGUAUAUAAUUCACUACACUACGGCUGUAUAUAAUUCACUAUACUACGGCUGUAUAUAAUUCACUAUACUAUGACUGUAUAUAAUUCACUACACUACGGCUGUAUAUAAUUCACUAUACUACGGCUGUAUAUAAUUCACUAUACUAUGACUGUAUAUAAUUCACUAUACUACGACUGUAUAUAAUUCACUACACUACGGCUGUAUAUAAUUCACUAUACUACGGCUGUAUAUAAUUCACUAUACUAUGACUGUAUAUAAUUCACUACACUAUGGC